rnacentral:rRNA from 1 species
UACGUAGGGGGCGAGCGUUAUCCGGAUUUACUGGGCGUAAAGCGCGUUAAGGCGGUUGGCAAAGUUGGUUGUGAAAUCUCAGGGCUCAACCCUGAAAUUGCGACCAAUACUGGUCGACUAGAGUGCAAGAGAGGAAGGUGGAAUUCCCGGUGUAGUAGUGAAAUGCGCAGAUAUCAGGGAGGAACACCGGUGGCGAAGGCGGGUCUCUGGGCCGAUACUGACGCUGGAGGAGCGAAAGCGUGGGGAGCGAACAGG